UCGACGAUGCUGAUCUCUUAAAA
rnacentral:piRNA from 1 species